rnacentral:rRNA from 1 species
CCUACGGGAGGCUGCAGUGGGGAAUAUUGGACAAUGGGGGCAACCCUGAUCCAGCCAUGCCGCGUGUGUGAAGAAGGCCCUCGGGUUGUAAAGCACUUUCAGUGAUGAAGAACGCCUGGUGGUUAAUACCCAUCAGGAAAGACAUCACUCACAGAAGAAGCACCGGCUAACUCCGUGCCAGCAGCCGCGGUAAUACGGAGGGUGCGAGCGUUAAUCGGAAUUACUGGGCGUAAAGCGCGCGUAGGUGGCUUGAUAAGCCGGUUGUGAAAGCCCCGGGCUCAACCUGGGAACGGCAUCCGGAACUGUCAAGCUAGAGUGCAGGAGAGGAAGGUAGAAUUCCCGGUGUAGCGGUGAAAUGCGAAGAGAUCGGGAGGAAUACCAGUGGCGAAGGCGGCCCUCUGGACUGACACUGACACUGAGGUGCGAAAGCGUGGGUAGCAAACAGGAUUAGAUACACUUGUAGUC